rnacentral:lncRNA from 1 species
AAGAGGGGUUCACUAUGAGGUCAGUGGAGGUCUGUGAGUGGUCAGACAAGUCACUGUGUGGGCAUGGGAUGUCUCUGUGUGGUCAAGGGGAGUGUCUAAAGUGUCAGGGGAUGACUCUGUUAGGUCAGCUGAGAUCUCUGUCUGUCAGUGAGGACAGAAGGGGCCUCUAUGAGGUCAGAGGUGGUCUCUGUGAGGUCACGGUGUUACCAAAAUCAAAGUGGUUUGAAUGCUUGCGAGUUAAGUUGGCAUGAGCACACUAAAGCUAUUUGGGGACAUAAACCUUCCCUCGUUGGUUUGUCUUCCAGCCGUUGACUAUUGGGGACAACUGAGAAUGCUGUGUAGUAGCUUCCCUCACUUCAUCUGUACUUCAAGCCGGUUAUGGAGCACCCUCCGUGCAGCCACUCGGAGCUGUGCAGGACUGGUAGCAGGACCGAUCGGCAACUUUGGGAGUUUCCCACGGGUGUCUGGAGCACUUCUGAGGUCUGAAACACGGAUUCGGGAUCACUGUACUGCCCCGGGCCUCCAGGUCCCAGUUUGUGUAUCGCCUGAGGCAGUCCUGCGGCCUCUGGAACAAAGUGCGUGGGUGUGGCCAGGCGGGUGGGGUGGGAUUGGGGGGCUCGGGGCGGGGAGGGGCGGCUCGGCUUUCCCCAGGGCCCUAUUGGACCUGUGCGAAUUUAGGCCAUUUAAUGGGUGGCCGGCUUACUCUUUUCAUGGCUUUCAGAAGCAGACCCCGAAAAUAUCCUCCCUUUCCUCCAUCCCCAGGAUCAUUGGGAUUCCACCCUGCCUCGCUCUCUGGCACAGCCUGUCCACCAGGCCUGCGGAUGUCCGAUCCUGGGUCAUCUGCCUUACCCGCUUGUUCCCUGGCUUCGAACGCAACGGAAGACUUUGCCUGAGUCAUGCUAACCUUCUGCUCCAGAUGCCCACAAUUCGUAUGGUGCGAGAAUUCAUAUGGAGUAAGUAUAAUAAUAUUGCUAAUAAAGUUAUUUUUAUUAUUAAUAGCUAACAAUUAUAUAGUGCUUCCUAUAUUCCACGCAGUCUUCUAACUGUUUUCUAAAUUUUAGCUCUUUGAAUCCUUUCAAACCCCCAUGAGGUAGGUAUUAUUUCUUUCACAUGAGGAAGCUGAGGCUCCAGAG